rnacentral:snoRNA from 1 species
AGGCUGUGACGUGGGCAUUUCCUCCUUGAAUCUCUACCAAGCUUCAUACAAACUCUCUUGAUCAUGGUGGGAAAAAGUCGUUAUCUCAUUGCGAAGCUU